rnacentral:rRNA from 1 species
ACGCUGGCGGCGUGCUUAAUACAUGCAAGUCAACUUGACUUUAGAUAGCAAUAUCGAAAAGUAGGGUGGCGCACGGGUGCGUAACGCGUAGGUAAUCUGCCCUGAGGUCUGACAUAACCCGUCGAAAGGCGGGCUAACAUCAGAUGAUAUAUAAUCACGACAUCGUGGAAAUAUCAAAUCUUCGGAGCCUUGGGAUGAGCCUGCGUCUGAUUAGGUAGUUGGCGGAGUAAUAGCCCACCAGGCCUACGAUCAGUAGCUGGUCUGAGAGGAUGAUCAGCCACACUGGAACUGAGACACGGUCCAGACUCCUACGGGAGGCAGCAGUAAGGAAUAUUGCUCAAUGGGGGAAACCCUGAAGCAGCAACGCCGCGCGAAGGAUGAAAUACUUUGUAUGUAAACUUCUGUAAGAUGGGAAAAAUAUUCUCCUCGGGAGAAUUGAUUGUACCAUCAGAGUAAGCCCCGGCUAACUACGUG